CCACAGGCCGUAAACCCAAGGUUUCCAGGGGAAGGUUCGUCCGCCCUGGGUUAGUCGGGACCUAAGCUGAGGCCGAAAGGCGUAGGUGAUGGACAACAGGUUGAUAUUCCUGUACUACCGAUAACCGGUUGAGAGAAGGGAUGACACAGUAGGAUAAGCUAAGCACACUGUUGGUUAUGUGUGCCCAAGCAUUGAGGCAGUCAAAG
rnacentral:rRNA from 1 species